rnacentral:rRNA from 1 species
UACGGGAGGCAGCAGUGGGGAAUCUUGCGCAAUGGGCGAAAGCCUGACGCAGCAACGCCGCGUGCGGGAAGAAGGCCUUAGGGUUGUAAACCGCUUUCAGUAGGAACGAAAAUGACGGUACCUGCAGAAGAAGGUGCGGCCAACUACGUGCCAGCAGCCGCGGUGACACGUAGGCACCAAGCGUUGUCCGGAUUUACUGGGCGUAAAGAGCUCGUAGGCGGUUGAGUAAGUCGGGUGUGAAAACUCUGGGCUUAACCCAGAGCCGCCACCCGAUACUGCUCUGACUUGAGUUCGGUAGGGGAGCAGGGAAUUCCUAGUGUAGCGGUGAAAUGCGCAGAUAUUAGGAGGAACACCGGUGGCGAAGGCGCUGCUCUGGGCCGAUACUGACGCUGAGGAGCGAAAGCGUGGGUAGCAAACAGGAUUAGAUACCCUGGUAGUCCACGCCGUAAACGUUGGGCACUAGGUGUGGGUCUCAACCAACGAGAUCCGCGCCGUCGCUAACGCAUUAAGUGCCCCGCCUGGGGAGUACGGCGGCAACGCUAAAACUCAAAGGAAUUGACGGGGGCCCGCACAAGCAGCGGAGCGUGUUGCUUAAUUCGAUGCAACGCGAAGAACCUUACCUGGGUUUGACAUGCUCGGAAAAGCCGUAGAGAUACGGUGUCCUUCGGGGCCGAGCACAGGUGGUGCAUGGCUGUCGUCAGCUCGUGUCGUGAGAUGUUGGGUUAGGUCCCGCAACGAGCGCAACCCUUAUUCUAUGUUGCCAGCACGUAAUGGUGGGGACUCGUAGGAG